ACGGGAGGCAGCAGUGGGGAAUAUUGCACAAUGGGCGAAAGCCUGAUGCAGCGACGCCGCGUGAGUGAAGAAGUAUCUCGGUAUGUAAAGCUCUAUCAGCAGGGAAGAAAAUGACGGUACCUGACUAAGAAGCCCCGGCUAACUACGUGCCAGCAGCCGCGGUAAUACGUAGGGGGCAAGCGUUAUCCGGAUUUACUGGGUGUAAAGGGAGCGUAGACGGCGACGCAAGUCUGGAGUGAAAGCCCGGGGCCCAACCCCGGGACUGCUUUGGAAACUGUGCUGCUGGAGUGCAGGAGAGGUAAGUGGAAUUCCUAGUGUAGCGGUGAAAUGCGUAGAUAUUAGGAGGAACACCAGUGGCGAAGGCGGCUUACUGGACUGUAACUGACGUUGAGGCUCGAAAGCGUGGGGAGCAAACAGGAUUAGAUACCCUGGUA
rnacentral:rRNA from 1 species